UCCCUGAUAAAUCAGGGCAGUCUCGUCUGAAAAAUACAACAGACGACGAGGGUUUCGCUCGUUUACCCACUUAAGGGCACAGCUCACGCCACGAGCUGACGACAGCCGUGCAAUACCUGUCUUAUGGCUCCCUUGCGGGCACUCCACCGUUUCUGGCGGAUUCCAUAGAUGUCAAACCCUGGUAAGGUUCUCCGGUUAGCGUCGAAUUAAACCACAUGCUCCACCGCUUGUGCGAUCCCCCGUCAAUUCCUUUGAGUUUUAGUCUUGCGACCGUACUUCCCAGGCGGCACACUUAACGCGUUAGCUACGCUACAAGAAGGGUCGAUACUUCUGAUAGCUAGUGUGCAUCGUUUACGGCGUGGACUAC
rnacentral:misc_RNA from 1 species